AGUUUAAUGGUCUAGUGGUAUGACGUUCGCUUCACAAGCUUGUGAUCAACGCGCGAAAGGUCCAGGGUUCGAUCCCCUGUUAAACUA
rnacentral:tRNA from 1 species